rnacentral:rRNA from 1 species
UACGUAGGGUGCAAGCGUUGUCCGGAAUUAUUGGGCGUAAAGAGCUCGUAGGCGGCUUGUCGCGUCGUCCGUGAAAACCCGGGGCUCAACUCCGGGCUUGCGGGCGAUACGGGCAGGCUAGAGUUCGGUAGGGGAGACUGGAAUUCCUGGUGUAGCGGUGAAAUGCGCAGAUAUCAGGAAGAACACCAAUGGCGAAGGCAGCUCUCUGGGACGGUACUGACGGCUGAGACGCGAAAGCGUGGGGAGCGAACAGGG